UACGUAGGUGGCGAGCGUUGUCCGGAAUUACUGGGUGUAAAGGGCGUGUAGGCGGGAAUGCAAGUCAGAUGUGAAAUGCCGAGGCUUAACCUCGGAGCUGCAUCUGAAACUGUGUUUCUUGAGUGUCGGAGAGGAAAGUGGAAUUCCCAGUGUAGCGGUGAAAUGCGUAGAUAUUGGGAGGAACACCAGUGGCGAAGGCGACUUUCUGGACGAUAACUGACGCUGAGGCGCGAAAAGCGUGGGGAGCAAACAGG
rnacentral:rRNA from 1 species